GACCUCCAAGUAGGGGCGACAAACCUACCGCACUUAGAGAUAGCUGGUUACUCAAGAAAAGAAUUUAAGUUCAACCUAAAGUUUUCUAAUUACACAAAAAUACAAUAAAACUUUAGAGCUACUCAAAUAAGGCACAGCUUAUUUGAAAUAGGACCCAACCUACAACAUCGGGUAAUAUAAACAAGCAAGUAACAAGUGGGCCUAAGAGCAGCCACCUACAAAAAGCGUUAAAGCUUAAUACUUAAACUGUAUUAAUACCACCACUACCCUAGAACCCCCCACCAAUAUUGAGUAAUUCCAUAAACAUAUGGAAGCUAUUAUGCUAGAAUGAGUAACAAGAAAUAGCUUUUCUCCUAAAUG
rnacentral:rRNA from 1 species